rnacentral:rRNA from 1 species
AUGAAAAACAUGAAUGAUGGGAUUACAAGUUUUAAAUUCAACAAAGGCCCGAAGGCUUACAAACUAAAAAGAGAUAAGGUGCCCGUAAUCCCUUUCUUGUCCCUCUCCUCGGGAGGCAGGUCAAGGAGGCGAAAGGGACAAAAGGAGCGCCUAGGCGAGCUACGGGUGGCAGAAGACAUCAAGAGAACAUCUUGGUGGCCGUCCAAAGGCUGGAUGGUGAUGGCGGCGCUGGAAGCAGAGCUCGAAGACGAGGCGGCAGGACGUCAGCACGCGUCGAAGGCGUCGGUGCCCGCGUACUCCGACUUGACGGCCUUGCCGCCCAAGGAGACAACCCCGAGAAGUUCAAGGAGCCGGCGACACGGAUGA